UUUCCGUAGGUGAACCUGCGGAAGGAUCAUUAAAGAGUAAGGGUCUUCGGGCCCGAUCUCCAACCCUUUGUUUAACUACCAUGUUGCUUUGGCGGGCCCGUCUCACGACCGGCGGAAGUUUGGCUUUGACCAAACUUCUGGCCCGUGCCCGUCAGUGGCCCCUUCAAAUUCUUGAUCAAGUAUGAUGUCUUAGUUAAAAACUUAAUAGUUAAAACUUUCAACAACGGAUCUCUUGGUUCUG
rnacentral:misc_RNA from 1 species